UUAGAGAUGUUUUGGCUUUGUUGUCUGCUUUGCUGAGAGCAUAUACAAAAUCACACUUACUCUAUGUCAGAUACAUUUCAGGCGAUGUUUAUUUAACCCUGACAGCAUGCCUGGGCAGUGAGUGCUGUUGUCAGAGAGCACAGAGAGGCUGAUUGACCAGCCUGAGGUCACACAGCUGGGAGUUGGCAGAACCAGGACAUGGACGCCAGUGUGAGUGGGAUUCCCGAGAAGCAGCUGAAGCCCCUCUCCAGGGGCCCCGCCACCCAGCGCGGUUAGCUAAUGGGAUGGAGCUGGAGUUUCUCUGGUUCCAAAUGUGGACAUGCUAAGGGACUGCACACGCUCCUAAAAAGGAAAAGAGAGAGGACUCCGGAGAAACCUGUGGGCCCGCAGUUGUUCGGGGUCAUUGCUGAGCUGACACCAGAACACGGCCGCGGAGGACCGGGGUCGGCCGGCAGUCAGAGCAAGUGCCUUCUUCAAAUACAUUUUCCACCUCCAGUGUUUAUGUGCCAUGUGGCUGAUGCAAUAGGAGAAGCAGGUAACAAGUCCAGAAGCAGCUGAGAAGAGAGUGAAGCACUUUGGAUUUAAGAAGACUUUCCCUGAGAAGGACUCAUCUGAUCUGCAUCUAGAAGGUUAUAAAUUCUGACUUCUUAUCAGAACUAAAUUUGAAGUUCUCUCUCACUCAGCAUGCUUGCUCAGGUCUCUGGGUGUUGGGCUGCAACAUCUUCCCACCCUGCUGCUCCUGGACAACCUCUACUCAUUCUUCAAAACCAAACCAUCAUUAACUUGUGGGACUUCUUUCCUGCCAACCCAGACUGGAGGAGGUGCCCCUUCUUUCUGAGCAUGAAUCUUGAUCAUACACCUACCUUAAAUUACCUACUUAUCUGUCUGUCUCCUACAGGAUGCAGGGCUGCUGGGAUACCUCACGGAAUCCAGGAACAUUGGACUAAGGAAGGAAAAGAACAGCAAGAUUAUAGCCCUGAUUUCUAGGAUGCUGCCUGGCCCUUGAGUUGACAUCACCACCUUCCAGCUUCUGUGUCUUUCUGCAAUAAAUAUUCCAGGGAAGGGAGACUCCACCUCCAAACUGACUCAUCCCUCAAGGUCUAAUUCAAGGUUAAUUUUUGCCAAUAACCCUCUCUUGGCCACAGAGAUGUCUCCUUCCAGUUACACAGAUUAUUUAUGAUUCUCAAAUCAUAAAUCAUAGAGUCUUUAACAACAACAAAAGCAUAAUAAUAAUAAUAGUAAUAAACAUAAUAGUAAAAUAAACAUUUGUGUAAGGCUCCUACACUCAUAUCUCCUUGUGCAUUCUUGUCUCCCUCUUAGUUAACUUGUCUGGUAUUCCUGUCCCCCACUCCUACCCCAAGUCAAUUUUAAGACAUUCCUUGCAGCUUGGAGAGAGCAUGAAGGAACCACUUCGGAUUCAGAAACAACUUGGAUUGAAUCCUGAUGAAUCUGAUAUUUACUGGUCAUGUCCCUAUCUGUUUUAGUUGUUCUUGCUGUUGUUGUUUUUAAAGGAUGGGUGACAAUGAUCUCUAAACCCUGUCUCCUUCUCUAAAAUGUAAUGACUGCAGCUGUGUUUCUUACAUAGCAAAAAACCUCCCCAAAGACCCUGGUGACAACAGAGACUCAAAGCAUAGCAGUCUCACAUGUUAGAAACCACAA